AAAAUGACUCUCAGCAACGGAUAUCUUGGCUCUUGCAACGAUGAAGAACGCAGCGAAAUGCGAUACCUAGUGUGAAUUGCAGAAUUCCGCGAAUCAUCG
rnacentral:rRNA from 1 species